rnacentral:rRNA from 1 species
UAACACGUGGGCAAUCUGCCCUUCACUCUGGGACAAGCCCUGGAAACGGGGUCUAAUACCGGAUACGAGCCUCCUAGGCAUCUUGGGGGUUGGAAAGCUCCGGCGGUGAAGGAUGAGCCCGCGGCCUAUCAGCUUGUUGGUGAGGUAAUGGCUCACCAAGGCGACGACGGGUAGCCGGCCUGAGAGGGCGACCGGCCACACUGGGACUGAGACACGGCCCACACUCCUACGGGAGGCAGCAGUGGGGAAUAUUGCACAAUGGGCGAAAGCCUGAUGCAGCGACGCCGCGUGAGGGAUGACGGCCUUCGGGUUGUAAACCUCUUUCAGCAGGGA